rnacentral:rRNA from 1 species
GAUCCUGGCUCAGGAUGAACGCUAGCGGCAGGCUUAAUACAUGCAAGUCGAGGGGCAUCAGCUUAUAGCAAUAUAGGGCUGGCGACCGGCAAACGGGUGCGGAACACGUACACAACCUUCCUUUAAGAGGGGGAUAGCCCAUAGAAAUGUGGAUUAAUACCCCGUAAGAUAGUGGGAUGGCAUCAUACUACUAUUAUAGUUACGACGCUUGAAGAUGGGUGUGCGUCUGAUUAGGUAG